GUCCACGCGAGGCCUUUUUGGACCGAUUAGGGAUAUGGCCGGGGCAGGGCAUAGUGAACUAGGGUCAGGCUAGGGUGCGACCCAAGCGCAACUGGCCCUAGCUUGGCCCAUUGCCACCGUUGCUGGCCAAGCCUAUGUCCAUAUCAAAACCCAGACCGGGCCCGUUUAACUAUCGGGUUCCAAUCCAGCGAACUCGCGCUCCGCUCGUCCAAAUUCGAGAUUUGGCCAGAAAUGGGCCAGCCCACUUUUACCCCUUGAAAACCUUGAAUUCACUCCUUCAGCAAAGAGCCAUGGAUUCUCCAAAGCACCAGUCUCAGGAUGGAGAUAGAAGGAGAAGAAGGCAGGGGCAAAAGUGUAAUUUUCAUCGAAGACUGCUGGUUCGAUUUCCACUUCAAUCUUUCCAUUAUUACAGACGGAUUCAAUGCUUGAACUUGCAAUGCGUCAGAAUUGGAGGCCUAUAAGAGGGCAGAUCAGUGGCGCCAGCCGGUUAUGGAAUACAUCGAUGCCGCUGAAGGAUACCUUGGGUAUCAACAGCCAAGAAGUUGUUAGCAAGACCCAAUCAUUUGACAGAUGAAAGUUGAAGCUGAAAAAUGCUUACUACAAAGUGAGAAGUUCAAAGAUGAGAAGGCAGAAUUUGAAUUUGCCAUCUAUGCAAAGAAUCUGACAUGAAGAUAUGGGGUCCACCUGAAUUGGCAUCAGGGUAUGAUCCUACUUAUGCCCUGGAUGAUUUCCAACCAAGAUAGACCCAGUUAUUCCGUUUAUACACUUGUGUUUAAAACCUUAAGAUUUAUGUCAUGCAUCUAUCCUAAAUAUUGUAACUUAAAGGUC